UACGUAGGGGGCGAGCGUUAUCCGGAAUUAUUGGGCGUAAAGCGCGCGCAGGCGGUCAUUUAAGUCAGGUGUGAAAGGCUGCGGCUCAACCGCAGAGCGGCACCUGAAACUGGAUGACUUGAGUGCAGGAGAGGAGAGCGGAAUUCCCGGUGUAGCGGUGGAAUGCGUAGAGAUCGGGAGGAACACCAGUGGCGAAGGCGGCUCUCUGGCCUGUUUCUGACGCUGAGGCGCGAAAGCGUGGGGAGCAAACAGG
rnacentral:rRNA from 3 species